rnacentral:rRNA from 1 species
AUUGAACGCUGGCGGCAGGCCUAACACAUGCAAGUCGAGCGGAUGAAGGGAGCUUGCUCCUGGAUUCAGCGGCGGACGGGUGAGUAAUGCCUAGGAAUCUGCCUGGUAGUGGGGGAUAACGUCCGGAAACGGGCGCUAAUACCGCCUACGUCCUGAGGGAGAAAGUGGGGGAUCUUCGGACCUCACGCUAUCAGAUGAGCCUAGGUCGGAUUAGCUAGUUGGUGGGGUAAAGGCCUACCAAGGCGACGAUCCGUAACUGGUCUGAGAGGAUGAUCAGUCACACGGGAACUGAGACACGGUCCAGACUCCUACGGGAGGCAGCAGUGGGGAAUAUUGGACAAUGGGCGAAAGCCUGAUCCAGCCAUGCCGCGUGUGUGAAGAAGGUCUUCGGAUUGUAAAGCACUUUAAGUUGGGAGGAAGGGCAGUAAGUUAAUACCUUGCUGUUUUGACGUUACCAACAGAAUAAGCACCGGCUAACUUCGUG